ensembl:lncRNA
GUAAGAUUUGUCAACCUUCUCACUCCAUCAAGCCAGAAGUUCGAAGUCUGAAAUAAUUAAGAUGUGGAAGAGUAUGUACAGUAUAAUUCCAUUUACAUCUGCUCUAAGUACGGGCAAAACUAAACUACAUGGUUUAAGGAUGAGUGUAUCGGUGGUGAUACUGUGAAGAAAAGCAAGUAAAUGAUUAUCAUCUAUGUGAGGAUAGUCAUUACCUCUCAGAGGAGGAAGGGGCGGUUGUGGAGGGAAGUGGACACAUGGAUCACAUGGAUGGUUUCCGGGAUGCCAAUACUAUUCUAUCUCUUGAUUUGAAUGGUAGUUAACAAAUAUUCACUUUAAAACCAUUUCUUAAACAAUAUAUGUAGUUUUAUACAUGCAUGUUUCAGCAUGUAUAUUAUAUAUUACAAUAAAAACUGUAUAAAUCACACUAUUAAUUUGUUAAUUUAGUCAAUAAAUAUUUAUUGUGCAACUUUAGUAUAAACAGCAGUUCUAGACAAUGAGCAUACAGUAACAAAGUCAGAGAACGUCUCUGUUCUCAUGGAGCUUACAGCUUAUGGGGAGAAAGACAGUGAAAAGUAAGUCCAAAAAAGGGGUAAUUUCAGAUUACAACAAAGAGUAUGAAGAACAGGCUGGUGGCUAGGGGGAAGCACUGGGGAGGAGGGCCCUGAGCCAGCUCUGCCAGAGAAGGUCUCUCUGCGGAGAUGACAUUUGAGUGAGAACUGAAGAGUGAGAAGGAGUUGGCCAUAUAAGGAUCUGGAGCAAGCGCCUCCCAGGGAGAGAAAAUAAGUUCAGAGCUCAGAAAAGUCUGGAGAAGGAGAGAGGGACUUGCGAGCUGACAUCAAACAUCUGAAGGAUUGCUUUGGAUGGACGCAAGGAGGUGGAGUGAGGAUCAGCGGGUAGAAGGCAAGGGCGGCUGAAUUCUGCUGGAGGAAAGGCAGGCUUGGCGCCGUCGGAACUGAAAGCGGAUCGCCCACACUUUGAGUUGUAGGUCCUUCUAGUUGUGGCAUGGGGGACAGCGCCUCAAUGUGGCCUGACGAGCGGUGCCAUGUCCACGUCCAGGAUUUGAACUUCAGCCUCCGAAGCAGAGCGCGAGAACUUAAUCAUUCGACCACGGGGCCGGCCCCAUAUGGUUCUUUAAUUCUGUAUGCUGUGGGAAAAAAACUGACAAUGUUUUACCUUCAAAUAUAAAUAGUUUCCAACAUUUCUGGGUGGUUAAUCAACCAAAAUGGUGGGUAGAUUAGGUCAGACCUUGCAGGUGCGCCUGCACUGGCACGCCAGCCAGGCUUGCUGCUUCACUGCAGAAACCCUGUAAACUGUUGCGUCUGCUGCGAACCUUAACCACAAAUGUUCCUCAGAGGUGAGCGUCUUCAUGUGUAUUUCUUCUCUAAGAAUCUUCCAUAAAAGCCAUAGUUCCAAAAACAAGGAACCCUCUCUCACCAAAAUAGCAGGCUUAUUUGCUCUCCAUCAAAUGUUCGCACAUUUUGAUGGGAUCAGAAUCAUCUGCAAAAUUUGUAAAAAGGUAACAGAUGCUCAAUCUCCAUCCCAAACUUAUCCAAUCAGAAUCAGUGGGGUUGGGCCCAGG